GAUGAACGCUGGCGGCGUGCCUAAUACAUGCAAGUCGAGCGAACGGACGAGAAGCUUGCUUCUCUGAUGUUAGCGGCGGACGGGUGAGUAACACGUGGAUAACCGACCUAUAAGACUGGGAUAACUUCGGGAAACCGGAUCUAAUACCGGAUAAUAUUUUGAACCGCAUGGUUCAAAAGUGAAAGACGGUCUUGCUGUCACUUAUAGAUGGAUCCGCGCUGCAUUAGCUAGUUGGUAAGGUAACGGCUUACCAAGGCAACGAUGCAUAGCCGACCUGAGAGGGUGAUCGGCCACACUGGAACUGAGACACGGUCCAGACUCCUACGGGAGGCAGCAGUAGGGAAUCUUCCGCAAUGGGCGAAAGCCUGACGGAGCAACGCCGCGUGAGUGAUGAAGGUCUUCGGAUCGUAAAACUCUGUUAUUAGGGAAGAACAUAUGUGUAAGUAACUGUGCACAUCUUGACGGUACCUAAUCAGAAAGCCACGGCUAACUACGUG
rnacentral:rRNA from 1 species